rnacentral:lncRNA from 1 species
GGAUGGUCCUAAGGCGUCUGUCAUGCCCAAACUCGGGUUAGUAGGUCCACACCUGUGUGAGAAAAUUAAGACUAAAUAAAGUUAAAGACCUAGAACGCUAUGUGAGACAAUAACCCUUCCAGUUUGACACAUGCAAGACAUGAUUGUGACUAUUUUUUUUAAAAUUAACCUAUUGGGCUAAAAGUGGCUAAAAGUGCAAGAUUUGGCUAAGACCCCGCGAAGCCAAGAACCUAAAUUCACUAGGAAAACCGGACCCUAUGUGGGUUGCUUAUGUAUCCUGCCCCGAGAGACGAAUCAGGUUCGCGUAGUUCGGGCAAAUUGGAUACGGGCUAGAAUAAAAAAAAUAACUAAUUUAGAGAAAAUAUAUUUUUUAUCUCUUUUUUUUUUUGGAAAAUGAUGAGAAAGUGCAAAAUCUUUUUGGAUUUUUCAUUUAUAGUUUUUGAUCUUUUUUCUUUAAAAAAAGUGAAAGAAAAACAUAACUGGGCCGUAAUUGCUUUAUUUUCACACUUCACCCUCUUUUAUUUCUCAUUUACCCUCACCCAUCAUUGGUCCGCCAAAUGACCCUUUUACACUUGAAGAAAUGCAACAUAUAGCACAUAGGAUGCAUCAGGAUAGUCUUUUAUUUUUGGGUACACUUGUCCUAGACGGACCCAACCCCUGUGUUGAGUCCCCUAAGUCAAAUGCAUGUGAUGCAAAUAAACGUUCUUACUAGGGAUCCAGUAUGAGGUUAUGUUAUUCUAAGUUUAAACCUAGGGUUGUGUUCUUGACCUGGCUUACUCGAGCGGACAACUCAAGCCGAAGAGGGGGCGACGUACCGGGAGCACGAAAAACUACCCGGCCUUGUUGCUGGCCUAGCCUCGUUCUAUUUGGUUUAACUUCUAACAGAAAAAGUGGGCCAUGUGAACGUGUGCACCAUUUAAGACUCAGAGGGGUGGAGUAAGAAGGCAUUUUAAUACAAUUCAAAUAAUAUCGAAAUUGUAAAUAAACAGCGAUUAGCACAUUAGGUUCACAAAAUAUAGUAAUAUUAACAAUAUAUAAAGCCAAAUAAAAUCAUAUUAAAAAGCUCGAAUUCUUGAACCCUGAACCAGAGAUUCUGAGUUCUUUGUCGUCGUCAGAGUUGUCAGAGCUGUCACACCUCCUUUUUACUAUCCCAGAAAAGGUAUAAGGGAGUUUUUUCUAAUUUAAGUGACAAUUGAAAUGAGAUUAUUUAUUUAAAAUUCAAAGUCGCCACUUGGGAUAAUUUAUGGUAUCCCAAGUCCCCAGUUUAAAAUCCCAAAUCAGAGAAAUUUGACUCUAUAUAUGGUCUGCGAACACAGAAAUCCGGGUAAGAAAUUCUGUUAAUCCGGAAGAAGGUGUUAGGAAUUCCCGAGUUUCAUAGUUUUAACAUGGUCUCUUUGGUCAUACUUGGCUUAAUAAAUUGUUUAACUACUCAUUUUAGAACCUAUGUGCUUUCACCUCUUUUAAUUAAAAAAUUAUCUGGAAAACGAGUCACGCGUACGUGUACUCAUUUGUUUGGCAUGUAAAAAAUCAUAUCACGCGAACGUGUCCAAAAUUAAAAAUGCUUUGUUAUUGUUAAGAAAGUUUGGUUGAAGUUGCGCGAACGCAUACUUUAGUUUUGUUUUUAGGAUCGUAAUUAUUUCACGCGAACGUGUACAGAAUCAUGGUGAUAGAUUAAGUCACACUUAAAGCAAUCUACGAGGUUCAUGAAUUAUUUUACUAACUACUUCGAGAUUACGCGUGAAAGGUCUAUGAUUAUGGAGCACAUUCGCUAAAAGAGAUUUCAUGCUCAUAUUCUUUUAACCUUUCAUUUCUCGCAUUCGACCCAUCCCGAUUCCUAAAUAUGUGAGUAAUUUUAAUCACCAUUGGGCUAGGCAUUACCAAAUUUAGAAGUUUAGCACGUACUUUGUCACACAAACACACGAGUGAAGAGAAUGAUAACAGAAUCACAGCGCACAUAGAGAGUCGGAGAAAGAGCAAUAGAAAACAAUCCGACUACAAUAGAGAAUUGACAGAGCUAGGAGACAUUGAUAUGAACCAAACAUGAAAGGGCUGAAAGUAGAGACGAUGUAAGUGCAUAAAUCACAAAUAACGAUUUAUACAUCAUAUCCAUUGUAAUUUACCAAAUAAUCUAUCUUUAUUCACUUUCCUAACACUCCAGGUAUCACUCAAAUUUACACUUACCCAUAAAUAAAAUCAGUUGAAAAACCAAGCUACAAAAUCCUCCAUUUCGGUAACGAGUAACGAUUGACCAGUUCACAGUUCACAGGAGAAAGCAAUGUGAACUAAGCAUAGUUGACUGAUAGCAAAGGCAGAGUAAAUGCAUAAAUUCCACUAAUUAUUACUACCAAAAGGAUUGUUUUACACUAAACAGAUGAACUAAAGGGCAAUCUGCAGUAAACAUACCGUAUCAGUGAUCCCAUUUUUAAUGGACAACAAAUCAACUUCCAACUUAAGCACUAGUAGUAUCAGUCGAAAACCCACUUCCUCGAUGAAGCAGAAUCUCAUUGGACAACACUUGAACCUAGACAGAACUCAACGGACCUCUAUCCUGCCAGAAACAUGGCAGUAAACAAACUGAAAACGAGCUAUUGUGGCUGCUUUUUACUGGUUAUUGGGGCUGUUCUCGGGCAGAUUUCAUCUCUAUUGUUGGGAGUUGAUUUUGCUUAGGCUGAAGAAGAUGGAGCUGCUCUUAAUCUCUCCACUAUGUUCGUUUGUGUGCGUGGCCGCCUAAGGAUAGGGGCUCGCUGAUGGUUGUUGGUUUGGAGAGGAGUUAGCAGGUUUUUGGUGUUGUCUUUUUGAAGAAGAGGAUGAAAGGUUUUGGGUGUUUCUCUCAUUUUGGCUGAAGAAGAUUGGGGGGGGGGGGCUUCUCUGUUCUCUUAUGUUCAGCGGUUGUGGCUUCAGCUUUUUGUUUACUGUGUAUCGAGGAAGAAGAAGCCACGCUCGGCGGGGGUCUCCCUUCUGAAAACGCGCAGAUUUUAGUCUUAGGUCCCUAGGGGCCUAG